rnacentral:rRNA from 1 species
AUGUCGGCGGUGGCGCCACCGCUGUGCACUUGGAUCGUCGCCGCCUGCUUGUCUGCAACCUGCGUCGCUGACGAUGAAGGGAAGCAGCGCAACUACGGCGGCGGGCUUUUCGGCACGCGCCGCCACUUUGCUGCGCGCCGCCGAGGCGGGGCACGCUCUGGAGUGCCCAUUGCUGUUUCCUUUCAUCCUGAAAGAGGAGGUGUGGAAAACAACAAAUCUGAAACCAAAAAACGGAGGGUAGUUGUCACUGGCAUGGGUGUCGUGACUCCGUUAGGCCAUGAGCCUGAUGAGUUUUACAACAACCUCCUACAGGGUGUCAGUGGAAUAAGUGAGAUAGAAGCAUUUGACUGUUCCAGCUAUCCCACGAGAAUUGCAGGAGAAAUCAAAUCCUUUUCAACAGAUGGUUGGGUUGCACCAAAGUUAGCUAAGCGAAUGGAUAAGUUCAUGCAAUAUUUGAUAGUUGCUGGUAAGAAAGCAUUGGAAAAUGGUGGGGUCACUGAAGAUAUCAUGAACGAGUUGGACAAAUCGAGAUGUGGAGUUCUAAUUGGAUCUGGUAUGGGUGGCAUGAAGGUUUUUAGUGACGCAAUUGAAGCAUUGAGGGUCUCCUACAGGAAGAUGAACCCAUUUUGUGUACCUUUUGCAACUACAAACAUGGGUUCUGCAAUACUUGCGAUGGAUCUGGGCUGGAUGGGCCCAAACUACUCUAUCUCUACUGCUUGUGCCACCAGUAACUUCUGCAUCCUGAGUGCAGCCAACCAUAUCAUGAGAGGGGAAACUGAUUUGAUGCUGUGUGGUGGUUCUGAUGCUCCAAUUAUACCAAUUGGAUUGGGGGGUUUUGUGGCAUGUAGAGCUCUUUCACAGAGAAAUAGUGAUCCAACAAAAGCUUCUCGGCCUUGGGACAUGGAUCGUGAUGGGUUUGUCAUGGGAGAAGGGGCUGGUGUGCUUCUUUUGGAAGAACUUGAGCAUGCAAAGCAAAGAGGUGCAGAAAUAUAUGCCGAAUUUCUGGGUGGAAGCUUUACGUGUGAUGCAUAUCAUAUGACGGAACCACAUCCUGAAGGGAAGGGGGUUAUUCUUUGUGUCGAAAAUGCACUAGCUGAUGCAGGAGUAACAAGGCAAGACAUUAACUAUGUAAAUGCCCAUGCUACAUCUACACAGUUGGGUGAUUUGAAGGAAUUCGAAGCUCUUCGCCGCUGUUUUGGGCAGAAUCCUCAGCUAAGAGUAAACUCAACAAAGUCGAUGACUGGCCACUUGCUAGGUGCUGCAGGUGGAAUAGAAGCUGUAGCUGCUAUACAAGCUAUAAGAACUGGUUGGAUCCAUCCGAAUAUCAAUCUAGACAAUCCGGAGAAAUAUGUGGAUGUCAGCUUGCUGGUGGGAUCACAAAAGGAGAGAUGUGAUGUGAAAGUCGCAUUGUCGAAUUCAUUCGGAUUCGGUGGGCACAAUUCAUCAAUUUUAUUUGCGCCCUUUUGA